GGAGUGAAGUUGUGUGAUUUGUUUUAAUUUGUCUAUUUAGUGUUUCUUCAGGUUUAAAUGUGUGUAAUAACGGUGGUUUAUUAACUGUUUAGUGUCUGUGAAAGUGCACAAAUGUGGGAAAAUGAAAUAAAGCUGCUGAACGUAGCUUCUCGGGAUCCUCCAAAAAUUCCAUUGAAAAAAUCUCAGUAAAUGACCACCAUUUUACUGAGAUUAUAUUUCAUAUGGUAUGAAAUCAUCUCAUUUCAUACCAUAUUAUCAUUUUUCAUAAAAAUAAAAAUAAGACUUGACCUAAAGGUUUUAGUUACCAGGUUAUAAAAUCCCUUGAAAAAAACUGGAUUUGAGAGUUCAUUUACUUUUACUUUUGUAUUGAAGUCAAAAAAGAAGAAAAUGAUUCGUUUCUUGAUAUUAUUUACUGGUUUAUAGUUUUGAGGUGAGAGUAUGAUGAUAAAGUUAGAGAAUAGGAAGUACUUAUUUAAUUUUAAUUUUAGUGGAUAAAACUAAGUCCGUACGUUCAGAAAUAUAACACGUGAAACAAAAAUAUCCUAAAGAAUUAUUUUAUAAAACAAGCUCAGUGCUAUGUUAUUUGUCUGUCUGCGUUUUAUUUACUUUAAAAUAUUAGGAUCCUGAAAUUGCCAAAGGUCAAUCAAUUAAUGAAACACAAACUUUGUUAAUGUCACUUGAAGUUUCCGGACGCUUGUCGCUAAAAUUUAUUUAUUUGGCUUAAAAUGUUACUUAAGUACCUACAUAUAUUUGUUAUUUUUACAAUCUAAUUAUUUAAGGUUUGAACUUUUGAAAAUUUUAUUUCAGCCUAUUAGUGAUGUAAAAUUAUUACAAUUUAUUGCUAACAGUAGUAAGUAUGUAGUAAAAAGGACUUUUUUCAACCUUAAUACUUGUGAAGCACAGGCGCAAAAGAGCAAGGGUUACAACGUCCAAUGACAAGGCUGUGUUUUGAAGAUUUGAAUGUGCCGGUGGAGUUCUCCGGGUGAAUAUCGGUGGGUUCUCCGGAUACAGGAGCCCUCAGUACUCUCUGGGAAAUCUUUGACACAACCUGUACUUAUUAUUUCUGAGCUCUAUUAAUGAAAUACGAUACUUAUAUAUUGAUUAUAGUUGAAAUAAAUAAAUUAUUCUGA